rnacentral:rRNA from 2 species
UCGCCCUUUCCGGUUGAUCCUGCCGGACCCGACUGCUAUCGGAUUGAGAUUUAGCCAUGCGAGUUGAACGUCCCUUGAUUGCAGGGGGCGUAGCAUACGGCUCAGUAACACGUAGUCAACCUGCCCUGGAGACGCGGAUAACCCCGGGAAACUGGGACCAAUCCGUGAUAGGUCGCCCCAUCUGGAAGGAGGGGCGGCCCAAAGGGGAAUUGUGGGCUUCCACUUUUCUCGCUCUAGGAUGGGACUGCGGCCGAUCAGGCUGUUGGCGGGGUAAUGGCCCACCAAACCUGUAACCGGUACGGGCCUUGAGAGAGGUGGCCCGGAGAUGGACACUGAGACAAGGGUCCAGGUCCUACGGGGCGCAGCAGGCGCGAAACCUUCGCAAUGUGCGAAAGCAUGACGAGGUUAAUCCGAGUGGCUUCCGCUGAGGAAGUCUUUUGCCGACUGUAAAAAGGUCGGAGAAUAAGGGGAGGGCAAGUCUGGUGUCAGCCGCCGCGGUAAUACCAGCUCCUCGAGUGGUCGGGGCGAUUAUUGGGCCUAAAGCAUCCGUAGCCGGUUCCGUAGGUCUCCUGCAAAAUCCAGUCGCUCAACGAUUGGCCCGCAGGAGAUACCGCGGGACUAGGAGGCGGGAGAGGUGGACGGUACUCCACGUGUAGGGGUAAAAUCCUUUGAUCCGUGGAAGACCACCAGUGGCGAAGGCGGUCCACCAGAACGCGCUCGACGGUGAGGGAUGAAAGCUGGGGGAGCGAACCGGAUUAGAUACCCGGGUAGUCCCAGCCGUAAACGAUGCUAGCUAGAUGAUCCGAUCGUAAAUCAUGAUCGGAGUGUCGCAGGGAAGCCGUUAAGCUAGCCGCCUGGGGAGUACGGUCGCAAGACUGAAACUUAAAGGAAUUGGCGGGGGAGCACCACAAGGGGUGAAGCCUGCGGUUCAAUUGGAGUCAACGCCAGGAAACUUACCAGGAGAGACAGCAGAUUGAGGGUCAGACUGAAGAUCUUACCUGACGAGCUGAGAGGAGGUGCAUGGCCGUCGCCAGCUCGUGCCGUGAGGCGUCCUGUUAAGUCAGGCAACGAGCGAGACCCAAAGGGCG